rnacentral:rRNA from 1 species
UUGACGGGGCCGCACAAGCGGUGGAGCAUGUGGUUAAUUCGAAGCAACGCGAAGAACCUUACCAGGUCUUGACAUCCCCUGACAACCCGAGAGAUCGGGCGUUCCCCUUCGGGGGACAGGGUGACAGGUGGUGCAUGGUUGUCGUCAGCUCGUGUCGUGAGAUGUUGGGUUAAGUCCCGCAACGAGCGCAACCCUCGACCUUAGUUGCCAGCAUUCAGUUGGGCACUCUAAGGUGACUGCCGGCUAAAAGUCGGAGGAAGGUGGGGAUGACGUCAAAUCAUCAUGCCCCUUAUGACCUGGGCUACACACGUGCUACAAUGGGCGGUACAGAGGGUUGCCAAGCCGCGAGGUGGAGCCAAUCCCUUAAAGCCGAUCGUAGUCCGGAUCGUAGUCUGCAACUCGACUACGUGAAGUCGGAAUCGCUAGUAAUCGCAGAUCAGCAUGCUGCGGUGAACACGUUCCCGGGUCUU